rnacentral:rRNA from 1 species
AAUGAACGCUGGCGGCAUGCCUAACACAUGCAAGUCGAACGAAGGCUUCGGCCUUAGUGGCGCACGGGUGCGUAACGCGUGGGAAUCUGCCCUCAGGUUCGGAAUAACAGCGAGAAAUUGCUGCUAAUACCGGAUGAUAUCGCGAGAUCAAAGAUUUAUCGCCUGAGGAUGAGCCCGCGUAGGAUUAGCUAGUCGGUGUGGUAAAGGCGCACCAAGGCGACGAUCCUUAGCUGGUCUGAGAGGAUGAUCAGACACACUGGGCCUGAGACACGGCCCAGACUCCUACGGGAGGCAGCAGUGGGGAAUAUUGGACAAUGGGCGAAAGCCUGAUCCAGCAAUGCCGCGUGAGUGAUGAAGGCCUUAGGGUUGUAAAGCUCUUUUACCCGGGAUGAUAAUGACAGUACCGGGAGAAUAAGCUCCGGCUAACUCCGUGCCAGCCGCCGCCGUAA